AUAUAAGAUUUAACCUGCCCACUGAAUAAUUGAAUGGCCGCGGUAUUUUGACCGUGCAAAGGUAGCAUAAUAAUUAGUUUUUUGAUUGAAAGCUGGAAUGAAUGGUUGGACGAGAAAAUUACUGUCUCUAAUUAAAUUUAAAUAAAACUUUAUUUUUAAGUUAAAAAGCUUAAAUGUUAAUGAAAGACGAGAAGACCCUAUAGAGUUUUAUAAUUGUUUGAAAAUAUAAUUUUAAGUAUUUAGAUUUUGUUUUCUAAAAAUUAUUUUAUUGGGGUGAUAAAAAGAUUUAAUAAACUCUUUUUUUAUUUAUACAUUUAUAUAUGAUUAUUUGAUCCAUUUUUUGUGAUUAUAAGAAUAAAUUACCUUAGGGAUAACAGCGUAAUCUUUUUAGAGAGUUCUUAUCGAAAUAAGGGAUUGCGACCUCGAUGUUGGAUUAAAGUUAAUUCUUGGUGUAGAAGCUUGGAAAUUGAGUCUGUUCGACUUUUAAAACUUUACAUGAUCUGAGUUUAAACCGGUGUGAGCCAGGUUGGUUUCUAUCUUUAUUUAGUUAAAAUGUCUUAGUACGAAAGGACCAA
rnacentral:rRNA from 1 species